rnacentral:rRNA from 1 species
AACGUAGGUACCGAGCGUUAUCCGGAUUUACUGGGCGUAAAGCGUGUGCAGGCGGUCGUGCAAGUCGGGCAUGAAAGCCCCUGGCUCAACUGGGGGAAGCUGUCUGAUACUGCGCGACUUGAGGGCUCGAGAGGGCGAUGGAAUUCCGCAUGUAGUGGUGAAAUUCGUAGAUAUUCGGAGGAACACCAGUGGCGAAGGCGGCUCACUGGCUCGACACUGACGCUGAGGUGCGAAAGCGUGGGGAGCAAACAGG